AAAGCGGCACAAAUAUUUUUAACAAAUGGCGCACAGUAGUCACUGUCUGCCCAAAAUCGUUCAUUGACGGCAUCAUCAACACGAAGAGAUAUAGACUGAACAAGGUUAUGCAGGUCAUACAUUAUCAUGUUUUUAACCAUUUGUUAUGGACGUGUCUUUUCCUUUUGGACCGCGCCAGCUGGGUCAUUGGUUCUCAAGGGGUAGUCCCAUCCCCGGCCCACAGUCCGCACAAUCGAUAUCAAUGCAAGUAAAUUAAACAUCUGUAGCGCAGGAACUAAAAAUGAACAACAUUAACAGGUGAAAAAAAAACAAACUACAACAAAGAGUGGAUCCGGGUACCGGACCCAAUUGUCAAUUCCAAAAUUUUAUCUUUAUAUGGUACAUUUCGCUUACGGCAUUAUUGAUGGUCAAGAACGUCACAGAAAGCUUUUUGUAACCGCCGCUGAGUACCACGUUGGAAAAAUGUUAUAUAUUAAUUAAGAGAGCAAUUGAAUCGCCACAUACUAUACACACGUAUAAAAUAACUGCGCUUUAAGAUCUUUAAAUGAGUUUGCAAAAAAUGGAAAAGAUUUUUCAUAUAGAUCCUUGGAAAUGAAUUUGAGUGCGAAACGUCUUUGCACCCCAUUUUCACCAAUUAGGAAUAGACUGGAAUGGAACACUCAUCACCGCAUAAUCGCUGAAACACGUACUAAUUAAUUUAUUAUGUUUAAAAAUAUGUUUGAACGAAUCGGACAAAACUUAACAAUUCUCCAAAAAAUCGUAGAAUCGCACUUUCGUCCGAGGAAGCUUUGACUUUGAGAAAAAUGUGAAACGCGUCUGAAAUGAUUUUUUAUAUAGAUCCUUGGAAAU